AAUAUCUCUUUCUGCCGCCUGCCUGCCUGCCACCUUUUCUUCUCAGCCCAGCGAGUUCUUCACAGCCUGGAGGGACCUGAAGCCUCGCCUUGCCUUGCCUCGCCUUCCUUCCUGCCAGUUUGCUAAACUGAAACGUUGCUAUUACAGUUGCUGUUAUUCUGCCAAAUUGCCAGGUGCAACGGAGCUUCCGGGAGGAGCAGGACCACUCAGAUUGCUCAGGAACAGACCAGGAAACAGAGCGGUGGAGCCGUGGAACACAUUGUCUGCGGGAACCUCCAGGGUGCCGGUACCCCCAAAACCGGGAGCCAAAGAAGGGGGGCUUGAAUCAAGGAGAACCGAUGGGAUUUGACCCCCAACGCAUUGAAACUUGGCUUGGCCAAAGCUGCCAAGGGGAGGUGGAAAUACAGCUACAUAGAAAGCACGAGACUGGAUCACGGAAGCCCGCCGCCCUUCCCAUCAUAGAGCUGCCACUCCUAGAGCGAUCCCAGAGAGGUGGGCAACAAGCAAAGCGGCAGAAGCCACUGCUGCACUCAAAGAAGAAGAGUAGGAUGACCCAGGCUGGACAGAUUUACAAGAAGAAACGGAUCUGUACCCAGUCGUCAGAAAUUCCAGUCCCUUCUGAGAAGAGAAUGGAAGCCCCGGAGCUUCCUGGCCUCUCCCUCCCACCCCAGAAGCCCCCCAGAAUUCCCAGCAUGGGGGGCAGGAUGAUGGUGGCCUUCGGCAUCCCCUUGCUGCUGCUGAUUGUUCUGUUCGUGGCAAGUCCUUCUCCGCUCUACCCGUCGGAGCCCUCCUGCCUCCAGAUGAACGGCUACGCCAGGUCCUUCCACCUGAUGCUGGAAUACCGGGGGCCACCACCCACCUAGCAGGAGGGGAGGAAUGUGGGGUGCUUCUUCCCAGGAGCGCCGGCCGGGGCAGAAGAAAGCUAUCUGUGCAUCCGCAUGGAACUGAGUUCUCUAAUGUGCGGAGAGAGAGGCGUUUUCGCAAGGAUUCCUGCUCUUAGGUCUGUGAGCUACGAUGUCACGGUGGACAUAGCCGAUUCCUCAGGAGACACUAAUGGAAAGUGUACCUGUAAGCAGCUCGGCCUCACCCUGUGGCCGUGAGUUCCAGGGGUUUUGUUUAUAUUAUUUAUUAAUUGCCCUUCUUAAGCACCAAUUGAAGCAAUGUUAAAAGGAGAAAAGAAAUUCGAAAGCAGCCAACAUUCAGACCUGUUAAACAGGACCAAAAGAUUUUUAAAACCAUCGCUAAAACCAUUAAAGGAUUUUUACACCUCUCUGAAUAAAACGCGAGCACUUCCACCCUCUCA
rnacentral:lncRNA from 1 species